AAGAGAGAAGAGCUCCAGGGUUUACAGAGUGUUGCGAGCGGCUGGGAAAUUGAAGAGAGAGAAAGGCUACCGAAAAUAACGCUUCUUUUUCUUUUUUUUCCGUUUAAAGUUAACCUAGGUGGUCUGUUUCGGGCCUUCCAGAUUUGGCCCGUUAAUCCCUAUCAGCACCCCCCCCCCAUACAAUUGGGUUGUCCCUUUUAGGCCCAUGCUGAUUGUUUUAGAAUUUAAUUAGAU
rnacentral:lncRNA from 1 species